AUGGGAGCUUGCUCCCUGAUGUUAGCGGCGGACGGGUGAGUAACACGUGGGUAACCUGCCUGUAAGACUGGGAUAACUCCGGGAAACCGGGGCUAAUACCGGAUGCUUGUUUGAACCGCAUGGUUCAAACAUAAAAGGUGGCUUCGGCUACCACUUACAGAUGGACCCGCGGCGCAUUAGCUAGUUGGUGAGGUAACGGCUCACCAAGGCAACGAUGCGUAGCCGACCUGAGAGGGUGAUCGGCCACACUGGGACUGAGACACGGCCCAGACUCCUACGGGAGGCAGCAGUAGGGAAUCUUCCGCAAUGGACGAAAGUCUGACGGAGCAACGCCGCGUGAGUGAUGAAGGUUUUCGGAUCGUAAAGCUCUGUUGUUAGGGAAGAACAAGUACCGUUCGAAUAGGGCGGUACCUUGACGGUACCUAACCAGAAAGCCACGGCUAACUACGUGCCAGCAGCCGCGGUAAUACGUAGGUGGCAAGCGUUGUCCGGAAUUAUUGGGCGUAAAGGGCUCGCAGGCGGUUUCUUAAGUCUGAUGUGAAAGCCCCCGGCUCAACCGGGGAGGGUCAUUGGAAACUGGGGAACUUGAGUGCAGAAGAGGAGAGUGGAAUUCCACGUGUAGCGGUGAAAUGCGUAGAGAUGUGGAGGAACACCAGUGGCGAAGGCGACUCUCUGGUCUGUAACUGACGCUGAGGAGCGAAAGCGUGGGGAGCGAACAGGAUUAGAUACCCUGGUAGUCCACGCCGUAAACGAUGAGUGCUAAGUGUUAGGGGGUUUCCGCCCCUUAGUGCUGCAGCU
rnacentral:rRNA from 1 species